UACGAAGGGUGCAAGCGUUAAUCGGAAUUACUGGGCGUAAAGCGCGCGUAGGUGGUUCAGCAAGUUGGAUGUGAAAGCCCUGGGCUCAACCUGGGAACUGCAUCCAAAACUACUGAGCUAGAGUACGGUAGAGGGUAGUGGAAUUUCCUGUGUAGCGGUGAAAUGCGUAGAUAUAGGAAGGAACACCAGUGGCGAAGGCGCCUUACUGGCCGAUUACUGACACUGAGGGACGAAAGCUAGGGGAGCAAACAGGAUUAGAUACCCGUGUAGU
rnacentral:rRNA from 1 species